UGUCAUAUCUGAAAUGUAUUUUCUAAGUGGAUGAGUAGCAUUUUCUAUUCAAACAUGUUCUAAUGCUUGCUCAUUCACUCUCUAACUCUGACAUACCAGUCAGAGUUACAGCCACAGUCUGUGCCUGGUGUUAUGGAGGUGGGGGAAAGCGAUGCUUGUUCCAGUUGGCCAAGAGUCUGAGUUCUCACAGCUGAAGGAUUAAGGCUAGUAGAGAUCUCAGCUGCAGAAAGCUGGCCCACCUUGUGCCAGAGAAAUGCUAGAGAACAAUCAGAUCACAGAAUAUUCUGAGUUGGAAGGGAUCUGCAAGGAUCAUCAAGUCCAACUCCUGAGGGAAUGGCCUGUAUGGAAAUCAAACCUGUGACCUCCUCAGCAUUAUUAGCACUAUGCUCUAACCAUUAAUUUGGAGGAAACUCUUUUGAAACUGCCCUUCUUCACGCACAGAGGAUGAUAUAUCAGGAUUACAAUAUAUAUUAAACAUCCUGCAGUGAGAGUUCUGCUUGUAACAAAUACAAGUGAAUGCCAUUGUGUUUUUUUUUCCUUGCAGUUUUCAUGAGCUAGUAAAGAGGAAUUUGGCUGUAAAAUACUCCCUAUCCCUUAAGGAAACAAAUCCUGAAAGUUUCUGGAACUGUUUUUAAAUGUCAGGUUUUGAAAAAACCCAUAAACAAACCACUUAUCUUUACGUCUUUAGUAUAAAUUUACUGGCUUGAUUUACUGUAUUUGUUUCCUGUGAAAAAUUCCCUAGGCAUAUAUGCUCCCAUGGCCUGAUUUGGGAAUUUUUAAACACAGUUUUGAUGUGUACAGAGGGAGCAGAUACCAAGGCAGGCUUUGGUUGUUAUGCUGAACAAGAAUAAGUGAUCAUAAUCAGCUCUCAGUGAGACCUUUAUAUGAUGGUAGGACUGUGUUUAAACAAAUUAAGAUGAAAUGAGUCUGUCUGAUAUUACAGUACAUGUAAAUUGCUAAUUGGAGAUAUGUCACAGGAGCUGCCUCUUUGGUGAAGAUUUGGGUUAGGGCUUGUUUUGUCUGUAUGUCAUGUUAAAUUCCUGUGGUGUUGAUGGAUCUGAUACUUUCUGCAUUGCAACAGAGUUGCAGGGUUGAUUGGAGUACAGUUGAUUAGCCUGAAGUUGAAGUGUGGCUGUGGCUGAAUUUGGAUAUUCCCAGUGAGAGUUGUAUAUACAAUUACUGGCUGGUAUGUUACUGAGCUUAAAAAUUGUCUUCCAGCCUUCCCUGUGUUUCUGAUUCCAGUGAUAAGAUUCCAGCCUGCAGGGUUACUAACCCAACAGAAAGCAGAUUAUCUUGUGGCUUUACUUCCAGUCCUGUAAAACACCCACACUCCAAAAACAAAAUAAUAGGAACUAGGAGCCAUAAUAGCUAGACAGGAAAUCAUUGCUUUAAAAUUAUUCUCAGAGACUUCUUUUGCAGUUUUGUCUGUAUCACAAUGAAGCUUUGGUUUCAGCUCUAUUUCAAGCUAGUUUACUAAGGAGCUCGAAAUGGCUCUGGUAACAUGGACCUUUUAUAUGCAGAAAUGAGUUUGGGUAUGGACAUGAAUCAUGGGAGAAGGGUCUGACACAAGCCGAGCUGUGCUGAAUAGAUAUUCAGGACUGGUCUAGUGAAAGGUGUCCCUGCCCAGGGCAGGGGGGCUGGAACUAGAUGAUGUUUAAGGUCCCUUCCAUCCCUGGCCAUUCUAUGAUUCUAUGAUGAUUCUAUGGUUCUUGGAUUCUGUCAUGGUUCUAUGAGUCUAUGAUACUACACCAACAAUCUGGAUGCAGAUGUGAGAUGUGACUAAUGUGAAGGGCUGAGGAAGGACUGGAGCUUGGGUACUGCAGGUCACAGGCAGACACUUCAAAAACUGGUGCAUGAAAAUCUUCUGUAAUGCUCACCUGAGUUCAUCUUGUGCCCACAAACAGUCCCUCACUUUCUGAAGAACUGUGAUAUUGAAUGCAUUUCAAACAGGAAAGAGGUCAACAGAAAAGGAAAUUGCUUGUGGUACAGUAACUUCUUUAGUGGAAAUGUGAUCCUUUGUCUUCUCCGUUAGGCAUUUCUUGUGGGUGCCUCCUUGCUCUCCCCUGCUGCCAGUAUGCUGCCUGAUAUUCAAAACAUGACACAGAACAUUCAGAGAGAGAAAAACCUUCAACUGAAGCUGCUUAUUAAUACAAAGAGAAAGCACAACAUACAGCAAUGCACUUUACACCACAUCUUCAAGAUCCCGAGAAGCCUAAAUACCAAGUUCAGUCUCUGUAACUCACUGACUCAUCAGUCUUUUGGGCUCACCAAACUUCAAAUUAAAGCCAUUGGUUGUAUGCAGAGGAUACUUCUCCAUCAGCACCAUGGUAACGUCACAUCUAUUGAAGUGCAUGUCAGACCAGAGCUGAUUUAAUGUAGCAGGCUGAUAAGGACAUUUUUCUUUGCUACAG